AUACCCAGAUAAUUGCCUUGUAACUCUGACGGUCCUAAGGUAGCGAAAUUCCUUGUCGGGUAAGUUCCGACCUGCAUGAAUGGUG
rnacentral:ncRNA from 1 species